rnacentral:tRNA from 1 species
UGGGGUGUAGCUCAAUGGUAGAGCGCUGGCCUUGCAUGUGCGAGAUCCUGGGUUCAAUCCUCAACACCACAU